rnacentral:rRNA from 1 species
UUCGAUCAUGGCUCAGAUUGAACGCUGGCGGGAUGCUUUUACACAGUAAGUCGAACGGCAGCACGGACUUCGGUCUGGUGGCGAGUGGCGAACGGGUGAGUAAUGUAUCGGAACGUGCCUAGUAAGGGGAUAACUACGCGAAAGCGUAGCCAAUACCGCAUACGCCCUUCGGGGGAAAGCGGGGGACCUCGGGCCUCGCACUAUUAGAGCGGCCGAUAUCGGAUUAGCUAGUUGCGGGGUAACGGCUCACCAGCACGAUCCGUAGCUGGUUUGAGAGGACGACCAGCCACACUGGGACUGAGACACGGCCCAGACUCCUACGGGAGGCAGCAGUGGGGAAUUUGACAAUGGGGGAAACCCUGAUCCAGCCACACUUCAGCGUAAAGAUGAAGGCCUUCGGGUUGCAAAGCACUUGGCAGAAAGAAACGGCACGGGAUAAUACCUCGUGCAACUGACGGUACCUGCAGAAUAAGUACCGGCUAACUACGUGCCAGCAGCCGCGGUAAUACGUAGGGUGUAAGCGUUAAUCGGAAUUACUGGGCGAAGCGUGCGUGAGUAUCUGGCGAAGAUGUGAAAUCCCAGAGCUUAACUUUGAACUGCAUUUUUGCACCAUCGAGCUAGAGCGUGUCAGAGGGAGGUGGAAUUCCGCGCGGUAGUAGUGAAAUGGUGAUAUGCGGAGGAACACCGAUGGCAGCAGCUUCCGGGAUAACACUGACGCUCAUGCACGAAAGUGGGGAGCAAACAGGAUUAGAUACCCUGGUAGUCCACGCCCUAAACGAUGUCAACUAGCUGUUGGGGCCUUCGGGCUUUGGUAGCGCAGCUAACGCUGGUGAAGCUGACCGUCUGGGGAGUGCCGGUCGCAAGAUUAAAACUCAAAGGAAUUGAUGGAAUCGCACAAGCGGUGGAUGAUGUGGAUUAAUUCGAUGCAACGCGAAAACCUUACCUACCCUUGACAUGUCUGGAAUCCCGAAGAGAUUUGGGAGUGCCUGCAAGAGAACCGGAACACAGGUGCUGUGCGGCUGUCGUCAGCUCGUGUCGUGAGAUGCGCUGGCAGCCCCGCAACGAGCGCAACCUUGUCAUUAGUUGCUACGAAAGGGCACUCUAAUGAGACUGCCGGUGACAAACUGGAGGAAGGUAAGAGAUGACGUCAAGUCCUCAUGGCUCCCGCAGGGUAGGGCUUCAUUAGUCGUCAUGUUGUACCGGUCGGGACAGAGGGUCGCCAACUGCGAGGGGGAGCCGAAUCCCAGAAACCCGAUCGUAGUCCGGAUCGCAGUCUGCAACUCGACUGCGUGAAGUCGGAAUCAAGGCACUCGCAGAUCAUACAAAGUUGCAGUAGUCACGUUCCCGGGUUCGUACACCGCCCACCACCAUGGGAGCAAUACCAGCAGCGGCUCAACCGUAAGAGGCGCGAUACCACUUGUAGAUUCGCGACUGGGGUGAAGUCGUAACAAGGCAG